rnacentral:rRNA from 1 species
AACCUGCCCAAGAGACUGGGAUAACACCUGGAAACAGAUGCUAAUACCGGAUAACAACACUAGACGCAUGUCUAGAGUUUAAAAGAUGGUUCUGCUAUCACUCUUGGAUGGACCUGCGGUGCAUUAGCUAGUUGGUAAGGCAACGGCUUACCAAGGCAAUGAUGCAUAGCCGAGUUGAGAGACUGAUCGGCCACAUUGGGACUGAGACACGGCCCAAACUCCUACGGGAGGCAGCAGCG